rnacentral:rRNA from 1 species
GAUGAACGCUAGCUACAGGCUUAACACAUGCAAGUCGAGGGGUAACGAGAGGAAAGCUUGCUUUCCUUGUCGACGACCGGCGCACGGGUGAGUAACGCGUAUCCAACCUGCCCCCAACUAGGGAAGAACCUUGCGAAAGUAAGACUAAUACCCUAUAAUUUCCUCAGAUAUCAUCUGAAGAGGCAUAAAGAUUUAUCGGUUGUGGAUGGGGAUGCGUCUGAAUAGCUAGGUGGCGGGGUAACGGCCCACCAAGGCAACGAUCAGUAGGGGUUCUGAGAGGAAGGUCCCCCACAUUGGAACUGAGACACGGUCCAAACUCCUACGGGAGGCAGCAGUGAGGAAUAUUGGUCAAUGGGCGGAAGCCUGAACCAGCCAAGUAGCGUGCAGGAUGACGGCCCUAUGGGUUGUAAACUGCUUUUAUACAGGAAUAAAGUUAGCCACGUGUGGUUAUUUGUAGGUACUGUAUGAAUAAGGACCGGCUAAUUCCGUGCCAGCCGCCGCCGUAA